CCUGCACAAUACUCUCAGAACUAGAGUAUUUACGCCUAAACCCCAAAUCAAAUUCCUCCUCUCCUUUUAGCACCAGAGCUCCACCUGCCACUACCCCCAUCUCACACGACAACUUUGGAAUUGGCCCUGCCUCACUGAACCUCAAGGUCAUAGGAAUUGCUGGUAUCAAGGGAGCAAGUAGGAUUGAUUUACUUGACCUGGAAACAUAUGAUCUUACUAGCCGGGUUGCCUUGGGGGAAAUGCAAAUGACUACACUGAUCAGAAGACCUUUACAAGAUGUUGUGUUAGAUGUAUUGUUUUUAAAAGAAAUUGGAAAAAGGAUGCUGUGAAUAGAAGCAACCAUAUGUUAUUCAUGAACUUGUCUUAUCAUUGUUCUGACUGUGUACAGGUCAUUCUGAUUUUAUUAUUUUGUUCUCUAGAUGAAAUGGAUUUGAUUUGGGGUGUGCAACACUUGGUUUUUGUUAAAUGUCUGCAUAUAAUGAUUUCAAUCUAUAUCAUUCAUUGUCUACAAGUAAUUUUU